rnacentral:rRNA from 1 species
UACAGGGGGUGCAAACGUUGCUCGGAAUCAUUGGGCGUAAAGCGCACGUAGGCGGUCUGUUAUGUCGGGUGUGAAAGCCCUCAGCUUAACUGAGGAAGUGCGCCCGAAACUGCAUCGCUGGAGUGCCGGAGAGGAAGGCGGAAUUCCCGGUGUAGAGGUGAAAUUCGUAGAUAUCGGGAGGAACACCAGUGGCGAAGGCGGCCUUCUGGACGGACACUGACGCUGAGACGCGAAAGCGUGGGUAGCAAACAGG